rnacentral:tRNA from 1 species
AAUGAUGAGCCUGAGAAAAGGAAUAUCGUGAUAGGAUAUAAUACGUGGGAUCAAACCCCACUUUCAUUA